rnacentral:lncRNA from 1 species
UUGUUACUCCCUCGGUUUCUUUUUAAUCGGUUUAUUUUGACUUUUUACAUAAAUCAAGACUAUAAAUACGUUUACUAUUUUUGAUACAACAAAUUAUCUUUUUCCUAUAAUAACCUUAAUUAUUUAAUGCUUCAUUUCAUAUAUUUCUCUCUUUGCAAUAAAUAUAUAAGGGUAAUAUAGGUAAAGCCACAUUUAAUAAUACAUUGAACUUUGAAAACGACAGUUAAUUGAAAACAAAAUUUUUAUGCAAAAGUGACAAUUAUAAAGGAACGGAGAGAGUAUCAUUUUAAUUACGACUCAAAUGAUAAAUAAUUGUAUUAGAAACAUUUAACACUCUUUUAUUUAAUAAAAUUAUACGAUCUCUUCAUCAAAAUAAUCAGUUUUAUGUGAACUUUAUUGAAUAAGAGUGUGAAUAUUGAAAAGAAACCGUUAAAAUAAUGGAAUGAGAAUGUGAACUAUAAUUCUCCAUUUUUUAAGAAUUUUAAUGAGUUUAAUGUGUCAAAAAUUAAAGUAAGUGAUCCACAUGACAUCCU